rfam:Oryza sativa Japonica Group DNA, chromosome 4, cultivar: Nipponbare, complete sequence.
GUAUUGUCGUGAGUUCCCUUCAAGCACUUCACGUGGCACUAUCUCAAUGCCUACUAUGUGAAGUGUUUGGGGGAACUCUCGAUAUCAC